CGCGGCGGUGGUGCACCGGCUGGCCGCCGCGCUGCGGGUGUGGGCGGUGCUGCUGGACGCGGCGGGCGGCGUCCGGUGCGCCGAGCCGCGC
rnacentral:tRNA from 1 species